rnacentral:rRNA from 1 species
UACAGAGGAGCCAAGCGUUGUCCGGAUUGACUGGGCGUAAAGCGCACGCAGGCGGACGCGCGCGUGGGGUGUGAAAUCUGGCCGCUUAACGGCCAGGCGCCAUCCCAUACGGCGCGUCUGGAGCCAUGCAGAGGGCGGUGGAAUUGCCGGUGUAGUGGUGAAAUGCGUAGAGAUCGGCAGGAACACCCAGGGGGAAACCAGCCGCCUGGGCAUGGCGCUGACGCUGAGGUGCGAGAGCGUGGGGAGCGAACCGGGAUUAGAUAACCCG